rnacentral:rRNA from 1 species
AGAGUUUGAUCCUGGCUCAGGACGAACGCUGGCGGCGUGCUUAACACAUGCAAGUCGAGGGGUCUCGGGGGCAACUUCGGGGCACCGGCGAACGGGUGCGUAACACGUGAGCGACCUGCCUCCCCGCGGGGGAUAGCCGGCCCAACGGACGGGUAAUACCGCAUACGCUCUUCUUUAGGCAUUUAGAGAAGAGGGAACCUUCGGGGCACCAUGAGGGGCUCGCGGCCUAUCAGCUAGUUGGCGAGGUAACGGCUCACCAAGGCUACGACGGGUAGCUGGUCUGAGAGGAUGGCCAGCCACAUUGGGACUGAGAAACGGCCCAGACUCCUACGGGAGGCAGCAGUGGGGAAUCUUGCGCAAUGGCCUAACGGCUGACGCAGCGACGCCGCGUGAGGGAUGACGCUCUUCGGAGUGUAAACCUCUUUUGCCUGGAACGAACUAUUGGCUUUUGCCGAUUUGACGGUACCGGGUGAAUAAGCACCGGCUAACUCCGUGCCAGCAGCCGCGGUAAUAC